rnacentral:rRNA from 1 species
UACGUAGGGGGCAAGCGUUGUCCGGAAUUAUUGGGCGUAAAGAGCUUGUAGGCGGUUUGUCGCGUCUGCUGUGAAAUUUCGGGGCUCAACCCCGAACUUGCAGUGGGUACGGGCAGACUAGAGUGUGGUAGGGGAGACUGGAAUUCCUGGUGUAGCGGUGAAAUGCGCAGAUAUCAGGAGGAACACCGGUGGCGAAGGCGGAUCUCUGGGCCGUAACUGACGCUGGAGGAGCGAAAGCAUGGGGAGCGAACAGG